GAUAGAGCCUACCAUGGUUUUAACGGGUAACGGGGAAUUAGGGUUCGAUUCCGGAGAGGGAGCCUGAGAAACGGCUACCACUUCUAAGGAAGGCAGCAGGCGCGCAAAUUACCCAAUCCCGACACGGGGAGGUAGUGACAAUAAAUAACAAUACAGGGCCUUUACAGGUUUUGUAAUUGGAAUGAGUACAAUUUAAAUCUCUUAACGAGGAACAAUUGGAGGGCAAGUCUGGUGCCAGCAGCCGCGGUAAUUCCAGCUCCAAUAGCGUAUAUUAAAGUUGUUGCAGUUAAAAAGCUCGUAGUUGAAUUUCGGGACUAAUAUGUCGGUCGUGCCUCGGUACGUACUGGUUUAUUGGUUUCUCCUUUCUGAAGAACCAUGAUGUCAUUUAUUUGGUGUCGUGGGGAAUCAGGACUGUUACUUUGAAAAAAUUAGAGUGUUUAAAGCAGGCUCACGCUUGAAUACAUUAGCAUGGAAUAAUGAAAUAGGACGUUUGAUUCUAUUUUGUUGGUUUCUAGGAUCGACGUAAUGAUUAAUAGGGAUAGUUGGGGGCAUUAGUAUUCAAUUGUCAGAGGUGAAAUUCUUGGAUUUAUUGAAGACUAACUACUGCGAAAGCAUUUGCCAAGGAUGUUUUCAUUAAUCAAGAACGAAAGUUAGGGGAUCGAAGACGAUCAGAUACCGUCGUAGUCUUAACCAUAAACUAUGCCGACUAGGGAUCGGAUGA
rnacentral:rRNA from 1 species